AUUGAACGCUGGCGGCAUGCUUUACACAUGCAAGUCGAACGGUAACAGGCCGCAAGGUGCUGACGAGUGGCGAACGGGUGAGUAAUGCAUCGGAACGUGCCCAGUCGUGGGGGAUAACUACUCGAAAGAGUAGCUAAUACCGCAUACGAUCUAUGGUUGAAAGCGGGGGACCGUAAGGCCUCGCGCGAUUGGAGCGGCCGAUGUCCGAUUAGGUAGUUGGUGGGGUAAAGGCUCACCAAGCCAAAGAUCUGUAGCUGGUCUGAGAGGACGAGCGGCAACACGGGGACUUGGACACGGCCCAGACUCCUACGGGAGGCAGCAGUGGGGAAUUUUGGACAAUGGGCGCAAGCCUGAUCCAGCAAUGCCGCGUGCAGGAAGAAGGCCUUCGGGUUGUAAACUGCUUUUGUACGGAACGAAACGGCUCUGGUUAAUACCCGGGGCUAAUGACGGUACCGUAAGAAUAAGCACCGGCUAACUACGUG
rnacentral:rRNA from 1 species